UACGAAGGGUGCAAACGUUGCUCGGAAUUAUUGGGCGUAAAGCGCGUGUAGGCGGCCCUGCAAGUCGGGUGUGAAAUCCCACGGCUCAACCGUGGAAGUGCACUCGAAACUGCAGGGCUAGAGUCCUGGAGAGGAAGGUGGAAUGCUUGGUGUAGAGGUGAAAUUCGUAGAUAUCAAGCAGAACACCUGCGGCGAAGGCGGCCUUCUGGACGAUGACUGACGCUGAGACGCGAAAGCGUGGGGAGCAAACAGG
rnacentral:rRNA from 1 species